rnacentral:lncRNA from 1 species
UAUAACUCGGUAAUUACUCAUAGAUAGUAAUCAAGAAUAGUAGAGAUAACAUCAAUUUUCUUUAACACUUACAGCAUACAUUUAGUUACAACAGUUAAUUCAAUAAUAAAAGGCUGAGUCUUUAAAAGGGAGUCUUGGGCUGUAGAUGAACUGCCGAUGAAACCAUCUCAAACCAUCUUGAAUCACCGAUUCCUGGAACAGAAAAUAGUUUGAGAUCUAUUAUUUUGUGAUGUUAAAACUGAAAUAGAAACUAGAUUGGAAAUUUGCUGGAAUGAGAUUUUGAAUUGGGAAUUAGCAGUAGCAGCCGCGAGCCACCGCAGCGGAGGCAUGGCUGGCGGCGGUGGUGGAGCGGCCGCGCGACGGGAACGACGGCGGUGGCGGUGGAGUUCACCGGAGGAGCAGAUUUAAAAGAGGAAACUUCAAAACCCUAAGUAGUGGUAGCCUGGGAAAUUGGGGGAAGAGAAGAGAAAGGAAGAAGGGGGAAGAACAGGGACCUGCCUCGCUGCGCCGGAGACGGCGAGAACCAGCAACGUCCCGGUGAGAUGGGGAAGAAGGGAGCCGACAGAGAGGGGCGAAGGGAGAGAGAGGGACGGUAGAGAGCAGAGAAAGAGAGAGAAAAUGAUAGACAGAGAUUAAUCUGCUGUCUUUUUUAAGAAAAUUCUAGAUUGUUUUAUUUAUUUAAUCUAAUUGGGCUUAGUGAUACUUGGGC